rnacentral:rRNA from 1 species
UACGUAGGGAGCAAGCGUUGUCCGGAAUCAUUGGGCGUAAAGCGCGCGUAGGUGGCCCCAUAAGUCCGCUGUGAAAGUCAAAGGCUCAACCUUUGAAAGCCGGUGGAUACUGUGGGACUAGAGUACGGAAGAGGCGAGUGGAAUUCCUGGUGUAGCGGUGGAAUGCGCAGAUAUCAGGAGGAACACCGGUGGCGAAGGCGGUUCUCUGGGAAUGUCCUGACGCUGAGGAGCGAAAGUGUGGGGAGCGAACAGG